ACUGUGCCAAAGAAGACUUUUACUCAGAUGACAUCACAUUUGGACUACUUAUGCUACCCACCCACUCUACAAGGCACAAUGUAUUUCUAGGCAAUUUAAAAAGCCUUCCUGUAUUCCUAAUGGCUUAUAAUGCAUUGGAGGUGUUUGGUCAUGCAUGAAGUUUGGUCAUGAAUGGAAUUACAGCAAAUAUAGAGAGAAGCCCAUUCUUUCAUUUGCAAAAUCUUCUGGAAAUUUAUUUGGAUGUUGCAUACUGAACGUCAGUGAAACUAGUUCAGAAUUUAUUUUGUGCAGAAGAGGGUACAUCUUCACAGGAACCAAGUUUCAUCCCUAGACCCCAGACUUGUAACACAAGUUCCAAAGUGCAAAAGGCAAACGUACAAAUGUCUACCACAAGACUAAAGUGUGAUAUGUUAUGUUUUUUACCAUAAGCACCCAUAAAAUGAGCUCCAUUGCAGACAGGU